rnacentral:rRNA from 1 species
AGUGGGGAAUAUUGCACAAUGGGCGCAAGCCUGAUGCAGCCAUGCCGCGUGUGUGAAGAAGGCCUUCGGGUUGUAAAGCACUUUCAGUCAGGAGGAAAGGUUAGUAGUUAAUACCUGCUAGCUGUGACGUUACUGACAGAAGAAGCACCGGCUAACUCCGUGCCAGCAGCCGCGGUAAUACGGAGGGUGCGAGCGUUAAUCGGAAUUACUGGGCGUAAAGCGUACGCAGGCGGUUUGUUAAGCGAGAUGUGAAAGCCCCGGGCUCAACCUGGGAACUGCAUUUCGAACUGGCAAACUAGAGUGUGAUAGAGGGUGGUAGAAUUUCAGGUGUAGCGGUGAAAUGCGUAGAGAUCUGAAGGAAUACCGAUGGCGAAGGCAGCCACCUGGGUCAACACUGACGCUCAUGUACGAAAGCGUGGGGAGCAAA